GCAGAGGGGGCCCAGCACACUGCCUCUACUCUUCUCUUCUCCUCUCUUCUAAUAACUUGCGGGUCUUGCGAGAGUUAUUAGAAGAGAGGAGAAGAGAAAAGUAGAGGCAGUGAACUGGGCCCCGUCG